UCCUCACUCCGUACUAAGCAAUACUAUACCUCUAUAGAAAAUUUUAUGUUAAAACUAGUAACAAGAAGACAGACCUUCUCUUAAAUGUAAACGUAAAUCAUAAGGACAAACCACUGAUAUUUAACGCUCAAGAACCAGAAGUAAUAACCAACCAAGAAAACUCUACUUUAAUUAACGUUAACCUAACACAAGAGCAUUUCAAGAAAGAUUAAAAGAAAAAGAAGGAACUCGGCAAACUUUAACCUCGCCUGUUUACCAAAAACAUCACCUCUUGAUAAUAAUGAGAGGCCCAGCCUGCCCAGUGACCCAGUUCAACGGCCGCGGUAUCCUAACCGUGCGAAGGUAGCGUAAUCACUUGUUCUUUAAAUAAGGACUAGUAUGAACGGCAUCACGAGGGUUAUGCUGUCUCCUUUUUCCGAUCAGUGAAACUAAUUUCCCCGUGAAGAAGCGGGGAUAAAAUUAUAAGACGAGAAGACCCUAUGGAGCUUCAAACAACACAACAAAUGCCAAACAACUUAAAAAAUUUCAUAACUCCAAAUUUACUCAGCAUUAUGAUUGUUAGUUUUAGGUUGGGGUGACCGCGGAGCAAAACACAACCUCCACAUUGAAAGAAUUUUAUUCUAAGCCAAGAACCACAACUCAAAGCAUCUAUAUAUUGACAUUAAUUGACCCAAUAAACUUGAACAACGAACCAAGUUACCCUAGGGAUAACAGCGCAAUCUACUUCAAGAGCCCCUAUCGACAAGUAGGUUUACGACCUCGAUGUUGGAUCAGGGUCUCCAAG
rnacentral:rRNA from 1 species